AAAUCCUUGGUGUGUCAUSAAGGAUAACGUAAGGGAAAAUUAUGAUAUUACCUUAUUAUUAGUGUCGUCCAAGUGCGUGCCAGAAGACUCGGUAAGGCGAGAGACGCAAACGUUAUUCGUCUUGAUCAGGCGUAAAGGGUUUGUAGGCGGCUUUAAGUAUCUAAUUAUAAAGUUUACUAUUAUAAUGUAAAGUUUACAUUAUAUUUUUAUUAAUAGAUCAUUUAAAGCUAGAAUCUAAAAGAGGUUAAAACAAUGCUUAAGGAAGGUGUACCAACCUUAAAUAUUAAGUGGAGUGCUAAGGGCGAAGGCUUUUAUCCAAUACAGAUUGACGCUGAGAAACGAAGGUGAGGACAGAAAAAAGGAUUAGAGACCCUUGUAUUCCUCACUGUCAACGAUGAAUGGUAGUUACUAAGGAGAAAUAACUUAGAGACGAUGUUAACACGAAAACCAUUCCGCCUUGUGAGUACGACUGCAAAGUUGAAAACAAAAAAAUUAGUCGG
rnacentral:rRNA from 1 species